rnacentral:rRNA from 1 species
UACAGAGGGUGCAAGCGUUAAUCGGAAUUACUGGGCGUAAAGCGCGCGUAGGCGGAUACUUAAGUCGGAUGUGAAAUCCCUGGGCUUAACCUAGGAACUGCGUUCGAUACUGGGUGUCUAGAGUAUGGUAGAGGGAAGUGGAAUUUCUGGUGUAGCGGUGAAAUGCGUAGAUAUCAGAAAGAACACCAGUGGCGAAGGCGACUUCCUGGACCAAUACUGACGCUGAGGCGCGAAAGCGUGGGGAGCAAACAGG